rnacentral:rRNA from 1 species
CUCCCGUUGAUCCCGCCGGACCUGACUGCUAUCGGAUUGGUACUAAGCCAUGCGAGUCGUUGUAGCAAUACAAGGCGGACGGCUCAGUAACACGUAGUCAACCUAACCUAUGGACGUGGAUAACCUCGGGAAACUGAGAAUAAACCGCGAUAGAUCAUUAUGCCUGGAAUGGCUUAUGGUUCAAACAAUUUAUUGCCGUAGGAUGGGACUGCGGCCUAUCAGCUUGUUGGUGAGGUAAUGGCCCACCAAGGCUAUAACAGGUACGGGCUCUGAGAGGAGAAGCCCGGAGAUGGGUACUGAGACACGGACCCAGGCCCUAUGGGGCGCAGCAGGCGAGAAACCUUAGCAAUGUGCGAAAGCACGACUAGGUUAAUCCGAGUGAUUUCUGUUGAAGAAAUCUUUUGUCAGUCGUAAAACCACAGACGAAUAAGGGGUGGGCAAGUCUGGUGUCAGCCGCCGCGGUAAUACCAGCACCUCGAGUGGUCAGGAGGUUUAUUGGGCCUAAAGCAUCCGUAGCCGGCUACGCAAGUCUCCGGUUAAAUCCAGCUGCUCAACAGAUGGGCUGCCGGAGAUACUACAUAGCUAGGGAGCGGGAGAGGUAGACGGUAUUCUGUGGGUAGGGGUAAAAUCCACUGAUCCAUAGAGGACCACCAGUGGCGAAGGCGGUCUACCAGAACGCGUUCGACGGUGAGGGAUGAAAGCUGGGGGAGCAAACCGGAUUAGAUACCCGGGUAGUCCCAGCUGUAAACGAUGCAAACUCGGUGAUGCAUUGGCUUAUGGCCAAUGCAGUGCCGCAGGGAAGCCGUUAAGUUUGCCGCCUGGGAAGUACGGACGCAAGUCUGAAACUUAAAGGAAUUGGCGGGGGAGCA